rnacentral:rRNA from 1 species
UUAUGGUGGGCACUCUAAGGAGACUGACCGGUGACAAACCGGAGGAAGGUGGGGAUGACGUCAAGUCAUCCAUGGCCCUUACGGCCUGGGCUACACACGUGCUACAAUGGUCGGUACAAAGGGUUGCCAAGCCGCGAGGUGGAGCUAAUCCCAUAAAACCGAUCGUAGUCCGGAUCGCAGUCUGCAACUCGACUGCGUGAAGUCGGAAUCGCUAGUAAUCGUGAAUCAGAAUGUCACGGUGAAUACGUUCCCGGGCCUU